GGGAAAUGUGGAGUGCUACAGGCUCGCUUAAUUAUGCGAGAGGGGUGCCCGCCCCAAUAAGCCUGUUACGACACUGGGGCAUCCCCAUGUUUUACCAUCUAAUCCU
rfam:Triticum aestivum genome assembly, contig: Triticum_aestivum_CS42_TGACv1_scaffold_569716_7AS